GAAAUUAAGAAUGGAAUGAAUACCUCCUGCAGCUUUGUGACAUUGUCGAAAAUCAUAUAUGGACGGCUAAACGUCCUUCAGCCCAUAUUGCCAGUAUGUUGUGAAAAAACAACGCCAUUUGUAGUACUAUAAGCAAAGCUGUGUUAGUCUGUCAGAACUCAAAAGAAACAAUAAGACUCUGCAAGUGGUAUAUUGACUGAAGAUAUCUCCAGUUUCCCAUACAGAUAGUGCGUUUAAUUAAUAAACAUAGCUUGAAUUUGAGAAGUUAAGCAAGCUCUAUGCUACUUAAAUAUUAGCUACGUUGCAAAAAUACUGUAUUAGCAAGUGACUAUUACCAUAUCCUAAUUCACAACAUCCUUUAACUGCUAUCAAAAUUUGCCUAUUUGGUCCUGAAAUCUACUUUCCCCAAAAAAAAAAACAAGGACAAAGAAGAAACAUGAGUGCCCGUCUUGCCAAAAUUGAGAAUCUCAGUUCUAUUUUGGACAUGAGAACAAAGUACUAACAGCAAUAAAGAAGAGAAGAAGCUGACAUACAUAGAAAAAGAAGAAGAAGAGGAUGCGAAAUUGUUGGACAUGAGAACACAAAAUGCUGCCUCCAAAACACCAACUUAAGCUUUUUGGCUUCUUCGGUUUAUGGCUUUUUCUCUCUUUAAUUUGCAGAGAUGAUCAAGAAGAGAAAUUGCAUAAAGUUUGCUUUUGGUUUCGAAGAAGAAGAGAAGAAUUGAAAAGAUGAUGUUAGAGAUUGGAUUAGCUUUCGCUUGAGAGUAAUUUUAUUUUUAAAAGCUCUUCGAAAAAAAAUGGAAACUUUGAUUUGUUUUCUUUGUUGCUCAACGGUUGUUUCCUUUUUCUUAUAUUGGUU
rnacentral:lncRNA from 1 species